AGACGUCUACGAGUUUGAUCCGUGGCUCAGAACGAACGCUGGCGGCAGGCCUAACACAUGCAAGUCGAGCGAACCCUUCGGGGUUAGCGGCGGACGGGUUAGUAACGCGUGGGAAUAUACCCUUUGGUACGGAAUAGCCUCGGGAAACUGAGAGUAAUACCGUAUGUGCCCUUCGGGGGAAAGAUUUAUCGCCAAAGGAUUAGCCCGCGUUGGAUUAGAUAGUUGGUGGGGUAAUGGCCUACCAAGUCUACGAUCCAUAGCUGGUUUGAGAGGAUGAUCAGCAACACUGGGACUGAGACACGGCCCAGACUCCUACGGGAGACAGCAGUGGGGAAUCUUAGACAAUGGGCGCAAGCCUGAUCUAGCCAUGCCGCGUGGACGAUGAAGGCCUUAGGGUUGUAAAGUCCUUUCAGAUGGGAAGAUAAUGACGGUACCAUCAGAAGAAGCCCCGGCUAACUCCGUG
rnacentral:rRNA from 1 species